rnacentral:tRNA from 1 species
UGAGGUGUGGCUCAGCGGUAGAGCGCUUGCCUAGCACGUGUGAGGCCUUGAGUUCCAUCCUCACACCACAU